AACAAAUGCUACAACUACGUGAAGACAUUGCAAAUGCACUUUGGGCAAUUAUAAUAAUUGAUAGUGUACUCAAUUUUAUUUGUAAU